AACCUAUGGUGAGGGCACCUUCUCAAUAAAUCCUUGUAUCUCUCCCAUGCAUCAUAAAGUGUUUCUAAAUCCAUCUGCACAAAAGAAGAGAUAUCAUUCCUCAAUUU
rfam:Gossypium hirsutum cultivar TM-1 chromosome 13, whole genome shotgun sequence